UGCUACGAGGGUCUCACCCACGACACGGUGGCUGGCUGCGUUUUCGCGUCCGGGUCUCAACCCCUGGGUGCUUCGCCCCUUUGCAGCGGCUCCUCCACCUGCUGCCCGCAGAGGCUUGAAGGGCGCCUCCGCACUUAAGCCUUGGCAUUUUUAAAAUAUUUAAUCAUUCAUGAGUUGAGCUUCAUUCUUGAGUCAUGGAUGACAAGGCUUCUGUUGGAAAAAUCAGUGUCUCCUCAGACUCAGUAUCUACUCUUAAUAGUGAAGAUUUUGUCUUGGUUUCCAGGCAAGGAGAUGAGACACCAUCUACAAAUAAUGGAAGUGAUGACGAGAAAACAGGACUCAAGAUUAUAGGGAAUGGAAGUGAACAGCAGCUGCAAAAAGAGCUAGCAGAUGUUCUGAUGGAUCCUCCAAUGGACGACCAGCCAGGGGACAAAGAACUUGUGGAAAGGUCACAACUGGAUGGUGAAGGAGAUGGACCUCUUUCUAACCAACUCUCAGCUUCAUCCACCAUUAACCCUGUGCCAUUAGUAGGCCUCCAAAAACCAGAGAUGAGCUUGCCAGUGAGACCUGGACAAGGAGAUUCCGAAGGGUCAAGUCCUUUCACACCAGUGGCUGAUGAGGACAGUGUAGUUUUCAGCAAACUAACUUAUUUAGGCUGUGCCUCAGUAAAUGCUCCCAGGAGUGAAGUGGAAGCAUUAAGGAUGAUGUCCAUCUUAAGAAGCCAGUGUCAGAUUUCACUAGAUGUAACCCUUUCGGUGCCGAAUGUAUCUGAAGGAACUGUGAGACUCUUAGAUCCUCAGACAAACACUGAAAUAGCAAACUACCCUAUCUACAAAAUCCUGUUCUGUGUCAGAGGGCAUGAUGGAACUCCUGAGAGUGACUGUUUCGCUUUCACUGAAAGUCAUUACAAUGCAGAGCUCUUCAGAAUACACGUCUUCCGGUGCGAAAUACAAGAAGCUGUCAGCCGGAUACUUUACAGUUUUGCUACUGCCUUCCGCCGUUCUGCCAAGCAGACCCCACUUUCAGCAGCUGCUGCACCCCAAACUCCUGACAGUGACAUCUUUACCUUCUCUGUGUCUUUAGAAAUAAAAGAAGAUGAUGGUAAAGGUUAUUUUAGUGCAGUUCCUAAGGAGAAGGACAGACAAUGCUUUAAACUUCGCCAAGGAACUGAUAAAAAGAUUGUCAUCUAUGUGCAACAAACAACUAAUAAAGAACUUGCCAUUGAAAGGUGUUUUGGUCUUCUCCUUAGCCCAGGAAAAGAUGUACGAAAUAGUGACAUGCACUUGUUAGAUUUGGAAUCUAUGGGCAAAAGUUCUGAUGGAAAGUCCUAUGUCAUCACUGGGAGUUGGAAUCCAAAAUCUCUGCCUUUUCAAGUUGUAAAUGAAGAAACUCCUAAAGAUAAAGUGCUGUUUAUGACCACAGCUGUUGAUUUGGUAAUAACAGAAGUACAGGAGCCUGUUCGAUUUCUCAUAGAGACAAAAGUCCGUGUUUGCUCACCUAAUGAGAGAUUAUUCUGGCCCUUCAGCAAACGUAGUACCACUGAAAAUUUCUUUUUGAAACUAAAACAGAUAAAGCAGAAGGAAAGAAAGAACAAUACUGAUACUUUAUAUGAAGUUGUGUGCUUGGAAAGUGAAUCAGAAAGAGAGAGGAGGAAAACUACAGCCAGUCCCUCAAUUCGCCUGCCACAGUCUGGAUCUCAGAGUUCCAUGAUACCUUCUCCUCCAGAAGAUGAUGAAGAGGAAGAUAAUGAUGAACCCCUCUUGAGUGGAUUUGGUGAUGUAUCCAAAGAAUGUGCAGGAAAAAUUCUUGAAACAUGGGGAGAACUGCUAUCAAAAUGGCAUCUCAAUUUGAGUGUGAGACCAAAGCAGUUGUCGUCCUUAGUAAGAAGUGGUGUUCCUGAAGCUCUGCGAGGAGAAGUCUGGCAACUGCUAGCAGGUUGUCACAACAAUGACCACCUGGUAGAAAAAUACCGAAUUCUCAUUACAAAGGAGUCUCCCCAGGACAGUGCCAUCACCCGGGAUAUUAACCGGACAUUCCCAGCCCAUGACUAUUUUAAGGACACAGGAGGAGAUGGACAAGAUUCCUUAUAUAAAAUAUGCAAGGCAUAUUCUGUGUAUGAUGAAGAGAUUGGCUAUUGCCAGGGCCAGUCAUUUCUCGCUGCUGUUCUGCUUCUCCAUAUGCCUGAAGAACAGGCAUUCAGUGUUCUGGUCAAGAUCAUGUUUGACUAUGGUCUCAGGGAACUUUUCAAGCAAAACUUUGAAGAUUUGCAUUGCAAAUUUUACCAGUUGGAGCGACUCAUGCAGGAAUACAUCCCUGACCUGUACAACCACUUCCUGGAUAUAAGCCUUGAAGCACACAUGUAUGCCUCCCAGUGGUUUCUUACACUUUUCACUGCAAAAUUCCCUCUCUACAUGGUCUUCCAUAUCAUCGACCUGCUUUUAUGUGAGGGAAUAAGUGUUAUUUUUAAUGUCGCCCUUGGAUUAUUAAAGACUUCCAAGGACGACUUGCUGCUGACAGAUUUUGAAGGUGCCUUGAAGUUCUUCAGGGUCCAGCUUCCGAAGAGAUAUCGCUCAGAAGAAAAUGCGAAAAAGCUAAUGGAAUUAGCUUGCAGCAUGAAGAUUAGUCAGAAGAAAUUGAAAAAAUUUGAAAAAGAAUAUCACACCAUGAGGGAACAGCAGGCCCAACAAGAAGACCCGAUCGAGCGAUUUGAGCGAGAGAACCGGCGUCUACAAGAAGCUAACAUGAGGUUGGAACAGGAAAAUGAUGACUUAGCCCACGAGCUGGUAACCAGCAAGAUUGCACUGCGCAAGGACCUGGAUAACGCUGAAGAGAAGGCAGAUGCACUCAAUAAGGAGCUGCUUAUGACCAAACAGAAGUUGAUUGAUGCGGAGGAAGAGAAGAGACGGCUGGAAGAUGAGUCUGCUCAGUUAAAAGAAAUGUGUCGUCGGGAACUCGACAAAGCAGAAUCUGAGAUUAGAAAAAACAGUUCCAUCAUUGGUGACUACAAGCAGAUUUGUUCUCAGUUGAGUGAAAGAUUGGAGAAGCAGCAGACAGCUAAUAAAGUGGAAAUUGAGAAAAUUCGGCAAAAAGUGGAUGACUGUGAGCGCUGCCGGGAAUUUUUCAACAAGGAAGGUCGCAUAAAGGGCCUGAGCUCAGCCAAGGAGGUUUUAGAUGAGGACACAGAUGAGGAGAAGGAGACCCUGAAGAACCAGCUGAGGGAGAUGGAACUGGAGCUGGCCCAGACCAAGCUGCAGCUGGUGGAAGCGGAGUGCAAGAUCCAGGCCCUGUUCUAGGUGCUGGGGUUGCAAAGCUAAGACAUGGCUUGUGUGACUGUCCAGGACAAUCAGGAAAAGCACCACCAAGGCAGCAGUAUGUGAGCUGCGGUCAAAGAAUGAACCAGGGUUGCAGCUGCAGAAGAGAGAGAACAGACUUGGAGCACCAUUUAGGCCUUGCCCUGAACGAGGUACAGGCCGCCAAGAAGACGUGGUUUAACCGAACCCUGAGCUCCAUAAAGACGGCAACGGGGGUUCAAGGGAAAGAGACUUGCUGAGCGAAGUGGCUGCCUCCAGACACCUUCAGAAAACACGACACCUUUUGUUGCCUUCUUUGGCCAGAUGUGUGAUUCUGUGACAUGUCCCAGGACCAGAAUGUACCUAAGUCAGAUCCAUAGCAGCAUGUUGGUAGGUCAUUGGACCAGAGCUCAUGAAGCAGGCAGCCUCUCUGGGGUAAGGCUCUCCUAACUACUGAUGCUAACAGGCCUGCUGGCUGAGUGACGCUCUGGACACGCUCUGGGAAACCAUCCUCCGUGUGAGCUCCCAGGCCUCUUCCUGGUGUGGGUCACCAUCUCACCCAGCCCAAGGGCUGAGUUGACAUUAUCGGAGUUUGGGGAUCCUUCAGGCUUUUGGUUUUUUUCUAAACCUUUAAUCUUUUUUUGUUUGUUUUUAAAUAUACAUAUUAUAUAUAUAUUGUGGGGUGGGGGUGGGGGGGCAGGGGAUCAGUAUCGCAAAUAAUUCUUAUCUACUUCGUGCCAGCAUAGGGUCCUCCAGGUAGACGCGGAGAAGCACUUUGUUUUAAAUAGGAGGGUUUCCUGGUUGUAGUUGAAGCCACCUAGUUUUGUUAAAGAACACAUUGCACAGGUGUUGGGUUUGGCAUUAUUCACGUUUCUGAUCAAUUCUAUGCAACUCUUCUAGUUCCUCGUUUUUAGUGUUAGCUGCCAAAACGUCACAGGGCUGGGCUGGGCGACUUGACUGACUGUGAGACAGGGUGAAUCAUAACGUGGACAAAUCUUAUUUUGCUUCAUGUGUCGUGUGUGUGUGUGUGUGUGUGUGUGUGUGUGUGUGUGUGUAUAAAUAUCUUUUCCCAGUGUGCCCAACUGACAGUGUUUAAAUCCCAGACCGAGACUGAUCUGCACAACCUAAUUAUGUGGAUAUUUGGGCACUUAACGUCACUCCAGUUCUGCUGGGCUCCACUCUCCUCCCCCACCCUCUCGAGAGCUGGGAAACGCUCCAUCACUUCAAGGUCCCUAGUGCUUUUGCACAACAGGUCAUACAGGCGAGGAGGACACUGCGCCGUGUGUGUGUGUGUGUGUGUGUGUGUGUGUGUGUGUGUGUGUGUGUGUAGACACAUGUGCGGGAUGCACAGGCCCAGGCCCGGUCCUGCUGACCCGUGUCCCUCCCUGGCUGUCUGGGCCCCCGGGCCCUCCCCCGAGUGUGCUGGGUGCAGACCUCACUGUUCAGAUGGGCUGCAGGUUCUCACUUCAAAACUACAGAAUAGAGGUUUUAGCACCUUUAAAAAAACAAAUAACCUAGACCUUUUAAUUUAUAUAGUGAUAUGCUGACGGGCUGGCGCCGAUGAUCUGGUCUCCGCACGCAGGGUGCAGGUAGCUGUUCUAAGAGGCACUGGUUUGUGUAUAAAGAUUCUUGGGUUGUUUUGUAUCUCUUUUCCUGUUGGCUAUACUAACGCUUGCUGAGGUCACUGUGACAAGGGAGGUAACAAUGGCAACCCCCACCCCCCGAACCACACCCUCCACCGCUUUCUGUGUCUUUCUUGUUCAGUUACCAAAACAGCUGUAAGCCCAUCUAAAACUAGGUGCGUGGACAUUGUGCUAGGGUAGUUUCAGUGUGUCAACUUUAUGAACUGAAAUAUAAACCAGUAAAAUUGUAUUACUAUUUCUUUUGUUGGUUUUAUUUUAACAGCAUAUUCAUUAAAUAUUUUGGUACAAAGAGCA